AAAAUUUCAGACACAUAAUAAUGCUUAUUAAACAGUUUUUUUUAUGCACAAGAAAAUUACUGGGGAUAUUUAAUACAAGAUUCUUCAUCAGUUAAUACGUGACAAUUUUCUUCAGUUGCAAGUCUUUUUCCUUUUUUAUCCAAGAUUCAAUCCAUUUUGUUGUAUUUAUUUUUUCAACUGGUGGACCAACAGCAUUUAUGAACAUUAAUGAUGAAAUAUGUUCAGAACUUAGAGUAUUCCUUUUUGGAGAUACUAUCUCAUUCAUAGAACUGAAGGCCCGUUCGCAUUCUGAUGAAGAUAUUGCAAUUGUUUUAAUUGCAGAGGUCAAAUUUUUGAGGAUAAUAUCGAUAAUAAUAUGGGUCUUCAAUCUAAAAAAGAACCAAUACGUAACAAUAUUAUUUCUAGUUGCAAAUUACCAAAAAACAUUAUAAUAAUUACUCACAUCAAUAAUACAAAAAUUGUUCAUUUCAUCGCCUACCUUCAAUGACGAAUACUGUAGAUAAAUGGUUUGUUAUUUAACAAAAUAAAUAAACUUUUCAAACAUCU